rnacentral:rRNA from 1 species
UGGGGAAUAUUGCACAAUGGGCGCAAGCCUGAUGCAGCCAUGCCGCGUGUGUGAAGAAGGCCUUCGGUUGUAAAGCAACAUUUCUAGCGAGGAGGAAGGUGGUGAACUUAAUACGUUCAUCAAUUGACGUUACUCGCAGAAGAAGCACCGGCUAACUCCGUGCCAGCAGCCGCGGUAAUACGGAGGGUGCAAGCGUUAAUCGGAAUUACUGGGCGUAAAGCGCACGCAGGCGGUUUGUUAAGUCAGAUGUGAAAUCCCCGGGCUCAACCUGGGAACUGCAUUUGAAACUGGCAAGCUAGAGUCUCGUAGAGGGGGGUAGAAUUCCAGGUGGUAGCGGUGAAAUGCGUAGAGAUCUGGAGGAAUACCGGUGGCGAAGGCGGCCCCCUGACGAAGACUGACGCUCAGGUGCGAAAAGCGUGGGGAGCAAAACAGGAUUAGAUACCCUGGUAGUCACGCUGUAAAACGAUGUCGAUUUUGGAAGGUUGUGCCCCUUGAGGCGUGGCUUCCGGAGCUAACGCGUU